AUUGAACGCUGGCGGCAGGCUUAACACAUGCAAGUCGAGCGGAGAUGAGGUGCUUGCACCUUAUCUUAGCGGCGGACGGGUGAGUAAUGCUUAGGAAUCUGCCUAUUAGUGGGGGACAACAUUCCGAAAGGAAUGCUAAUACCGCAUACGUCCUACGGGAGAAAGCAGGGGAUCUUCAGACCUUGCGCCAAUAGAUGAGCCUAAGUCGGAUUAGCUAGUUGGUGGGGUAAAGGCCUACCAAGGCGACGACCUGUAGCGGGUCUGAGAGGAUGAUCCGCCACACUGGGACUGAGACACGGCCCAGACUCCUACGGGAGGCAGCAGUGGGGAAUAUUGGACAAUGGGGGGAACCCUGAUCCAGCCAUGCCGCGUGUGUGAAGAAGGCCUUAUGGUUGUAAAGCACUUCAAGCGAGGAGGAGGCUACUUAGAUUAAUACUCUUGGAUAGUGGACGUUACUCGCAGAAUAAGCACCGGCUAACUCUGUGCCAGCCGCCGCGGUAAUAC
rnacentral:rRNA from 1 species